rnacentral:rRNA from 1 species
CCUACGGGUGGCAGCAGUGGGGGAUAUUGCACAAUGGGGGAAACCCUGAUGCAGCGACGCCGCGUGGGUGAAGAAGCAUCUCGGCACGUAAAGCCCUAUCAGCAGGGAAGAAAAUGACGGUACCUGACGAAGAAGCCCCGGCUAACUACGUGCCAGCAGCCGCGGUAAUACGUAGGGGGCAAGCGUUAUCCGGAUUUACUGGGUGUAAAGGGGGCGUAGACGGCGACGCAAGCCGGGAGUGAAAUCCCGGGGCUUAACCCCGGAACUGCUUUGGAAACUGUGGGGCUGGAGUGCAGGAGGGGUAAGCGGAAUUCCUAGUGGAGCGGUGAAAUGCGUAGAUAUUAGGAGGAACACCGGUGGCGAAGGCGGCUUACUGGACUGUAACUGACGUUGAGGCCCGAAAGCGUGGGGAGCAAACAGGAUUAGAUACCCUAGUAGUC